rnacentral:rRNA from 1 species
GAUGAACGCUGGCGGCGUGCCUAACACAUGCAAGUCGAACGGGAACCCUUGGAUUCGUCUGAGGGGGAGAGUGGCGAACGGGUGAGUAACACGUAGGUGACCUGCCCCAAAGAGGGGAAUAACCACUGGAAACGGUGGCUAAUACCCCAUGUGGUCUAUCGGUCGUACGAUAGAUUAAAGCUCCGGCGCUUUGGGAGGGGCCUGCGGCCCAUCAGGUAGUUGGUGGGGUAAUGGCCUACCAAGCCUAUGACGGGUAGGGGGCGUGAGAGCGUGAUCCCCCACACUGGCACUGAGAUACGGGCCAGACUCCUACGGGAGGCAGCAGUGAGGAAUCUUGCACAAUGGGCGAAAGCUUGAUGCAGCAACGCCGCGUGGGCGAUGAAGGCCUUCGGGUUGUAAAGCCCUUUUCUGGGGGACGAGGAAGGACGGUACCCCAGGAAUAAGUCACGGCUAACUACGUG